AUGGAGAUCUACUCCAAGGAGGAGGGAUUUUCGCGGCAGCAAGGCUCUAUUAAUUGCGUGCUGUUUGGUGACACCAACACUGCCUACUUCCAGGCCAUCGCUAAUGGCCGUAGGCGGCGAUGCUCUAUCCCCCUCUUAUGAGAAAGGGGUCAGCUGUUUCAAGAUCCUACAGCUAUCCGCUCGCUGGUUGAUGACUUCUACAAGUCGUUAUUUGUGGGGCGUCCUCAGGGUGGCAUAGCCCUGGCCGACCAUAUUUGGUCUCCU
rnacentral:rRNA from 1 species